GAAAAAAGACGAUCAGAUAAUGUUGUAUCGUAAACGAUGCCAACUAGCGAUCCAGCGGUGUUAUUCCCACGACCCGCUGCGCAGCGUCUGGGAAACCAAGGUCUCUGGGU
rnacentral:ncRNA from 1 species